rnacentral:lncRNA from 1 species
UUUUGCUCAUCCUCAUCACCGCUGUAUUCCCAGGGCCCACUUGGGUGCCCAGCAGACGGCGGAUGCUCAGGAAAUAGCGGGGGGAUACAUUUUGCAGAAGGGGGAAGCAGGCUCAGAGGGAGGGCGAUUUGCCCGAGAUUACACGGAGAAGAGAAGGCAGGACAGGGACUGGGGCAGGGUCUGCGGCCCCGAGGCAGCUCUUCCCGGGGUACCGGCCCCGUUGCUCAUCUGGACCGCCGGACCUGCACCGGAGCCGGCGCCGGGCUGUCCCCCACGGGGCCGGGACGGCGCGGCGACCCGAGAGCGGCCGGCAGAGGGCGCUGUCGACGCGCGUCCCCGGGAGGGAGGCGCGGGCCUGGGAGGCGAGGCCGCGGCGGGGCUGUAGGAGCCCGUGGGAGGCCUUCACCGGCCUGGGGAGGGGUGCCGAGGGCGGCAGGCUUCCCGGGAGAUGACUUGACCGCACCCCGAAGGAUGAAGAAACUGAGACUCAGAGAGGGAGGUGACUUGUGGAAAGCCACGCAGCUGGGAAGAGCAGUCUGGUUCCAGGGCGUCUGGGUCUCUAAGGUCACUUGAGUACCCCAGCCCCGUACCAGGGAUAGAGAGACCCCAAACCUCGGCUCUGCUCUGAGCACAGAGAGGUAUGUGGCCCCAGAUGUCUCCCCUAGAGUGACCUGGAGGGUGCAGGGGAGGACCCCCUUCAGCGGGGGGGCCUGCCAAGCCCUGGAGCUCAGCUAGAUGUGGGCAGCUGGUCCUGGGUCUGGGGAUGGUGCCCGGCCGCCUGGGUGCUGGCACUAGAGUGGCGGCUGUGGGUUAAAAUCCUAACUGUAGCUCCCUCUGCUGCGUGAGUGCGGGUGGGUUGCCUAGCUGCUCUGUGCCUCAGUUCCCCCGUCUGUGGAAUGGGGUAAUAACAGCGCCUCCCUUAGAAGGUUGCUGUGAGGAUCAGUGCAGCGCUUGCCGGCUGUUCCGGGGCUCUCCUCCGCGAGCUUCUCUCUCUCCUGGUUCUGGAAACCCUCACUUCACCUUCAGCAAAGCGGGCAGUAAACCUGGUCUCCAAGACUCAAACAUCGCAAACCAGGGCUCCUGAGUUCUCUCCAGGGUCCUCUGGGGUCGGCACUGUUGUUAAUCCCACUCUUCGGAUAGGAGCUCAGAGCGAGGGAGGGACCGGCCCUGCAGCCACACAGGGGGAUGAAGAAGGUGUCUGUGCGGGAUGGGAAGUGACCUCGAGCCGUAUUGUCAGAUGUUGUGAAUGAAAAAAAGCCAAGCGCUGAGCAGGGUGCGGUGUCUGCUCACACUCCAGUUGAAAAGGGAGUGGGAGGGUGGAAAACAGAGGUGGAGUUGCCUACACGUGCAUAAAAUAUUUCUAAAUUCUUAACAGGGGAUCGGUUACAUUCUUUACCCCCAGGGACGGGACUGGGUGGCUGGAGUUCAUGGUUAAAGGAAACUUUUUGCUGCACAUGUAUGAAAUACUUAAAAGGGGUAUUUUUAUGUGUUAACUUUCUGAAACAAGGGCUGAGAAGGCGAAGUAAGUACAUUAGUUCAGGGGUUCAAAUUCCAACACCAACAAGGGCCAGGCAAGCAAUGUGAAUGAGUGAAAUAGGGAGUGGUAGGGACUGUGAGACAUUAGGGACUGGUGGGGACUGAGUCUGUGAGGUGGGUUCUGGGAAAUUAUUUCUCUUCAUGAUAAAAGGGACAGAUACUUUUAGUUAACCCUAAACUUAACCAUUUCUCUUCUUUCCUGUCUUGAAUGUGAAUGCAGGUGCAAUGCCAGGAGCAAUAGCAGCCAUCUUGCAAACAAGAGGAAAAAGCCAAGAGAAUUGCAGAGACACCAGCCCUGACAUCAUUUGCCUGGAAAAACAAUGCCAGACAUAGCUGAUCUCCAAGCUCACCGUGAUAGGGGAAAAUAAACUCUUUGUCAAGCCACUGUGAUCUGUUUUC